GCAGGAGGGGCAGAGGCCUGGGUGUGAGCCGCAAUCACGAGCAGGUAGCCCUGGGCAACUCACUUCCCUCACUGGGCCUCAGCUGCCUGGGCCACUGCACCUCCCUCCACAUGUGAGUUUUCAAGGUGGCAGAGAUGGAAUGUCACUCCUGAAACCAAAGCUGGGACGCCUGUGUUAGAAGGGAUCAAAUUCUGAGUAGCUGCCCCGCUUGCUCUUUCCUCCUGUUUUCCUGGUUCCAGGAGCCAAAAGGCUGAUGGGGAAACUGCAUGCCUGUAAUCCCAGCACUUGGGAGGCUAAGGCAGGAGGAUUGCCACAAGAUCAAGGCCACCCUGGACUCCAUGAGUUUAACACCAGCAUGAAUUACAGAGCAAGACCCUUUCCCACCCCCCACAAAAAAUUUUAUUUCAGAUAGGGUUGCGCUAAGUUGCCCAAGCUGGCUUUGAACUUGAGAUAUUUCUGCCUCUGCCUCCCAAGUAAUUGAGACUACAGGUGUGUGCCACCGUGCCCAGCUCAAAGUUUACUCUAGCACACGAACGGUAAAAAGUUGGAAUAUACGCCCCUCUAACACAUACAUGUUUAUUUUUAAACCAUGGUAACUGCCAUUUUUAUAGAUCAAAACAAUUUGAAUAUCAGCAAUUUCUUGUGGUUCAACUUACUAUGCAUAAAAAAUCUACAUGGACCAAUGAACUAAUAACAUUCAUGUAUAUUACACAAGCACAUUCGAAGUGAAGAGAUACAUUAAGACUGAGCCCCAAAACAAACACACAUCAAAGGCUGAAUCCUUUCUCCCCACACCCAGCCGUCCUACACCCUCCCGUGAGAACUCUGCCCUAGAUGAGGCCCAGCAUCCACUCAACACAGCCCUGUCAGGGGUAACAAUUUUCACUUUCAAAGUGGAAAGCCGUUUCGAACCAAUAAGCUCGCGCUUAGAAAAUUCAGACAGAAAGCUCUCAUUCAGACUGACGCAGGAAGCAGAAUUCCACCUGCUCCGUGUCAUCAUCCCUGCACCUUAACGUCUGUCACUGUCCCAGGCACUUAACAGGACACCUCCUUGGGAGAAAUAAAUGCACUUUCUCCUCCCCACACAAUAUAGUCAGAGCUUCAGAGAGCGCAUUUUCUAUUUAUCUAUAUUUACUUAUAUGCUGUACACGAGGACCUGAACCCAGAGCCUCAGACACUUCAGGCAAGUGGCCCACACUGAGCUGCAUGCCAGCACUACCACCACCCCUACCUUUAAAAAAGAAAAACUUCUGAGGUCUAAGUUGCUCAGCCUGGCCUUGAACAUGUGAUCCUCCUGUCUCAACCUCAAACAGCUGAGCUGACCAUCAUCACACUCAGCUUAAGGUUUGAAUUUUUCAGCA
rnacentral:lncRNA from 1 species